AGCUCACUGCAGCCUCAAACACCUGGACUCAAGUGAUUCUUCCCUCUCAGCCUCCCAAGUAGCUGGGACUACAGACACGAUGAACCUUUUCUAAAGGGGUCAUACUCAGAUAGAUAGAGUCUCAAUUCCAGAGACCUCCAGUCAGGGUUGAGCAUUAGACUGAGUCACAGUGCCUCUCAAGUCCAGCACAGUGGCACUGUCUGCCCAGCUAGAGGACUGUGUUUGCCACUGCGUACACAUCUGCACCUGACUGGUCAGUGUCCUCUCCACAACACCCCUCAUCAGUGUGGGUUUAAUGGGCCUCGCUGGCUGGGUCCACCACGAGCUGCCCAGGUACCAUAUCUCAGCUCAAUGGGAGG
rnacentral:lncRNA from 1 species